rnacentral:lncRNA from 1 species
CGCCAUCACCGCAUUAAGGAAAGUGGAGAGAGGGAAGAAAGAAGAGAGAGCUUGAAAGGGCUUUGGGUAAAGGAGAAGUGGAAUUUGAAGUUGGGUUUUGAGGAGCACCAUAAAAAUUAAGAGGAAGAGAGAAACAGAGACCAAAAAGACGGUCCCUUCUACCGAAGAGAUAGGAGAGGAAUUGGCAUUAUCUCUAAAAGUUUUCUUUUACACUAUAGGCUCUAUCUUCAAUGAAUAGAGAAAUGACCAGAUUCAAUGGAAGGAGAUGGAUAAUAAAGUAGGUGGGCCCCACAGUCAAUACUUAAGGUAAACCACAAUCAAUACUUAGGUCAUGUUUGGAUGCAUAGUUAAAAAACUCUACGAAAUUUUUAUUCUGUAGUUUUUGGCUAAAUAAAAUACGGAAUCAUGUGACUACAAAAAAAUCCCACAGCUUCAUUUGUAACUCACAACCUUAUACUUUGAAAC